UUGAAGGAGACAAGGAGGGCUUUAUUUCACCUCCAAGCUACUCACCCUACUUCAGAGAAAAAGAGCCUCCCGCCAUUUUGCCAUGCCACAGGAAAAGCAGAGGCAUUGAGAGCUACAGGCCAAGUACUGUAUGGAGGUAAAUACUAGUUGUAUAUGGACACCUUGCUGAAGUGGCUAUGGAGCAGAGCUAGCUAUUUACUUCUCAAAAUCCAGACAUAUCAAAUAACAUACAUUUAAAAGAUACCGUUUUGGAGCCUGCAUCGUUUCUGAAGAAAAUGUGGAUUUAAGGCACAUGUGCUUGAUUACGGUGUCUAAGAGAUCAUGAAGAACUUCCUGCAGUCUUGACUUUUGCUUCAGAGAGGUUGAGGAUUUGGAAGGUACAUUUUUGUACCCUGGAAUGAAAACAUGCUAGUAGAGCUAUGCAUAAUACCUGUUUCUAUUCUGCACAGGAAUUUAUUGCAUUUAUAAUA